CACGCCCCCCAGGUGUAGUCCUGACUCGGGUCCCGCCCCCCUCACCUGACUCGCAGGUGCAGAGGGAAAGAUGGCGGCAUGGCGAGUUUGUGCUGCUGGUCUAGCUGUAUUUAAUUUAUUUUUUGUAUUGUUUUUAAUGAUUUUGUAUCCCUGUGGAUAGUUCUAGAGGAAUACAAUACAAUAAUUGCUUAAUGUACGAUGCUGCGCUGCUUUUUGAGCAAAAAAGCAUUUCAUCCUAAUUAAGGUGGAUCUGAACGCAGGGCUCUGUCUGUCUGUUAUGGGAGGGUGUGAAAUCAGUGACUCCUUCACGCGCUUUUCCUGGGAAGCAGUCCCACUCCUGAUGCACUUUUUUUUUCCCCUCUGUGUCUUUGCUGGUCCUCUUUCUCGAAUUCCUGGGAGGCUGAAGCAAGGAGAUGGAGUCCGUGACUUUGUUGGCAAGUUGUAGUUUUUCACCAAUUGAUACUUGCACAUGUUUUGCAUUUUGAUGUAAUACUGCAUUUUUGCCCAUUUUUUUUUUUUUUUUAUUUACAGUGAUGUUACGUUUCUCUGUUAGCCCAGUGAUGUGAAGUCACUUAUUUCCAUGCACUUUGUGUAUUUGAUGUGUUGAAUUGUGGUCGCUGUUUACCUGCUUGAUUACGUCAUGGAUUCACUGUGUAAUAAAGCUGUAUUGUUUAUUUCUGUGUCCAUCGUUUUCUACUAGAUCCAUGUUGUCUGGCUUUGGGUAAGUUGUUUGGUGCGGAAACCUUGCUGAGAUCAGUGGUGAAUACAGUACCUAACAAACGAUGCAAGGGAGAUUCCCCCCCCAACUUGCACAAUUGGCGAGGGGGAGCUCCGUUUCAUUUUUUGUUGGAUACUGCGGAAGCCACCCCUUUUUUGUGCCGGUGCAAAUUUUCCCGCCAAAAAACUUAGUAUAUAGGGUACCCGAGGGGGUUGUCCUUUCACAUGUCAAUCAAAUGUAGCCAGGAUGUAGCCAGACCACCUCCCUUCCCCAGUGGGGAAGGGAGGUGGGCUGGCUACGCUCUUGACUGUGUGUGUAUGCAUAUUUACACUGCCCUCUAUCAGAUAUUGGGAUGUUCACGGUUGACCCAAUAUCCGGAGGAGGGCAGUGUACCUGUGCAUACACUUAUAUGGUAGUAAUAUCACGGCAUUGUUACUUUGAGCACACCAGACUGCAGCCAGCUCAGCUCCCUCCUUCAAUGGGAGAUAGGCUGGCUAGCGUUUUAUUUGGAGUGUUCAAAUUUACAAUACAGAGAUAUUAGCACCAUAUAUGCAUACAGGUAUAUAGGGUAUCAAGAGCACAGCUGGAGCACUCCAAAUAAGGCAGUAACCAGCCCACCUCCUCUCCCAAUGGGGUGGAGAGGUGGGCUGGCUAUUGCCUUGUUUGGAGUGCUCCAAGUACCUCCA